CACACACACACUUUCACUGACAGAUACGUAUACACUAGCUAACAGACACACACUCACUCACUCCCUGACACACACGGGCAAACACACUCACACUAACAGACACACACACACUCACUCACAUUAACACAUUUUUUUUUUUUUAUUUAACCCCCCCCAGCCUCCUUACCUUUGGGAAUGCUGGGGGGGUUCUAUUUCACCCUGGGGGUCCAGUGGGGCUGCUGGGUGGGC